CAAGGCCCACGCAGUCUUAAGCACAUACACACAGUCAACUACACACACUGACGGCACACUCACACAUUCACAGACAAUUUAAGAUUAGUCUCAGAUGAGCACACACUAACACACUCAUCCAGUGGUGAGUUUGGGAGAGUGAGGAGGAAUUCCGGCCUUUGAGCCAUGCUUGUUUGGUGUCAGGAGGGACUUGGGAUUCAGGGGCUCAGCCACUGCCCUGUCUGCCCACCACCUAGUUUCAGCAGACAACCCCCCAUUUUGGAGAUCCCUGGAGGCAGGCUGGGGAUGAGAGGAAUGAUGCAGCCCCCUGUGUCCUGCCCAGGUCAGCAUCGGCUGCCCAGAGAAGAUGGAGCCCAUCACCAAGAUCUCGCAUAUCCCAGCCAGCCGCUGGGCUCUGUCCUGCAGCCUCUGCAAGGAAUGCACAGGCACCUGCAUCCAGUGUUCCAUGCCUUCCUGCGUCACAGCGUUCCAUGUCACGUGCGCCUUUGACCACGGCCUGGAAAUGCGGACUAUAUUAGCAGACAACGAUGAGGUCAAGUUCAAGUCAUUCUGCCAGGAGCACAGUGACGGGGGCCCACGUAAUGAGCCCACAUCUGAGCCCACGGAACCCAGCCAGGCUGGCGAGGACCUGGAAAAGGUGACCCUGCGCAAGCAGCGGCUGCAGCAGCUAGAGGAGGACUUCUACGAGCUGGUGGAGCCGGCUGAGGUGGCUGAGCGGCUGGACCUGGCUGAGGCGCUGGUCGACUUCAUCUACCAGUACUGGAAGCUGAAGAGGAAAGCCAAUGCCAACCAGCCGCUGCUGACCCCCAAGACCGACGAGGUGGACAACCUGGCCCAGCAGGAGCAGGACGUCCUCUACCGCCGCCUGAAGCUCUUCACCCAUCUGCGGCAGGACCUAGAGAGGGUUAGAAAUCUGUGCUACAUGGUGACAAGGCGCGAGAGAACGAAACACGCCAUCUGCAAACUCCAGGAGCAGAUAUUCCACCUGCAGAUGAAACUUAUUGAACAGGAUCUGUGUCGAGGUAGGCGCCUUCCCCACCUGCCGCCGCCACCUCCGUGUGCCCUGUCUUGCGGGGCUGGGUCCCAAGGAGGGUGUGUCUUUGGAUCCUGGUGGGGGUAUGUGGGUGGAGCCAAGGGCCACUGGCCCCCACUCCUACCCUUCACCAUCCAAUUAGUAGGCCCAGACGGGGGCCUGCAAGGGUCCUGAGUUGUGCGUCACUAGGCAGAGAGCCAGAGGUUUGAAUGUGGGCAUCAGGCCUGCCCUCAGGGAGCUUUCUGGUUGACUAGGCCACAGCAGUUCAGGAGCUGAUUGCAUGUGAACAGGUACAGAGAAGAAGUCCUAGUGGCUCUCUGCUGGUGCUGAGGCAGGAAGGGCCAGAAGCUGGUGAGCUUCCCUGAACCCUGGUGUGCCUGGGAGUCAGUUCCGAAGAAGGCAGCUGCCCCAGAGAUGUGACAGGACCUGGCUGUUGUUUCUCUCUGACCCUAACAGGAUUUAUGCCCUGCAUCCGCGGUGUUUUUCACUGUUUUAUUCUUAUUAUUCUUAUUCUCUUGGCGUCACAUGCGUUUAAUGGAUCUGGAAAUCAAAGGCUGAAGGAAGCGCUGACAUUGAUCGUAUCUGUUAAUUGUGGAUAUUGCCAGACACAGGGCCCUUCUUGGAGCGUAUACAUGUUAAGAAGGGCAACAUUUAGCCCCCAAAACGGUACCCCAGUGUUGCGUUUACAUGCAGCAGAAAUAGCUGGAUGGAGAGAGAUUUUGAGCCAGGGUCUGCCAAUGCCACUUCAGCCUCAGGGCUGAGCUGGGCCUGGAGAGGAAAGCUGCUGAGCCACCGUUGGAGCAAAUGACUGAGGACCUCUGCUGCCCCUACUUCUGCCCGAGAGCUGAGCUGACCUGAUUGUGCUUUGGCAUCACCACCCACUCUGGCCCCAACAUCUAGCCUUGCCAAGUUCAGGUGCUAGUCAUGACCAUGUAGAGUUCACCGUGUACCCAAAGACUGUGGCAGCUUCCUGGCUGCUGGAGCUUUCCAGGCCCCCUGUCUUCUGUUUAUUCACUCAGCCAGCAUUAACUGAGCAUGGACUGGAUAGGGUUGCUGCCCUUGUGGAAUGCACCAUCUGGAGAGAGAGAGGAAUGUGGUAUCGCAGAGGCUACAGUUGCUGCCAGUUUAGGGAUAGAAGUAUCAGGGAUGUCUUCCCAGAAGCAGUGAUGCUCCAACAACAUCUCAGGCACUUGGCUGUGGCCACAUAUCGGCUGCAGAAGGAGAAGCCCAUGCAAGGCACCCACAGUUGAGGAAGCAGAGGGUGGCAAGCCACGAGCAGUGCCCUCAGGCACAGGAUUCCAGAAGCAUGGGCAAGAGCCUGGAGGGUCCACAUCCCCACAUUGGUUCUGGGGACAUUUGCAACUCCUUGUCUUGAGUGUCAACAACAGGCAGCUCUUUGUUCAGGGCAGGGCAGGGUAUUUGGAGACGACUGGUUUGCCCUGUCCAAAGCUGCUGCUCACACUGUUGAGAGGCUUGACGCCUGGGGUGGGACAUGGGCUGUGUGCAUAUCGGCGAGGCUGUCUGGCCUGGCGGCUGGACAAAGCCUCCUAGUGGAGAUGAUAUUUGGCCUGUGAACUGAAUCAGGCGAAGGAUAGGACAAGAAAACAGCAUAUUUGGAGACUUAGUGGCCAGAGCAUGUCUUGGCAGAGAAACUGGAAGGAGGCUGGAAUGGCUGCACCAGGCAGAAGGAAGACUCCUAAAGUGGGGAUGACGGGUAACCUGGGUCACAUGUGCGAGAUCUUCUUGUAGCCUGGGGGAGGAGCUUACACGGUCCUAAGAGCAGUGGGAAGCCUCAGGAGCCUGCCUCUAGAGUAUCUAGGCAUUAGUUACAUGCCAUGUUACAGAUGAGAUUGCCCAGGCACAGUGGCUCAUGCCUAAAAUCCCAGCACUUUGGGAGACCACAGUGGGAAGAUCGCUUGAAGCCAGGACUUCCAGACCAGCCUGUCUCUACAAAAAAAAAAAAAAA
rnacentral:sRNA from 1 species